GAUGAACGCUGGCGGCGUGCCUAAUACAUGCAAGUCGAGCGAACGGACGCUGAGCUUGCUGUUUUGAUGUUAGCGGCGGACGGGUGUGUCACACGUGUAUAACCUACUUGUAUUUCUGGUAUCACCUCGGGAAACCGGAUCUAAUACCGUAUAAUAUUUUGCACCGCAUGGUUCAUAAGUGAGUGACGGUCUUUCUGUCACUUAUAGAUGCAUCCGCGCUGUAUUAGCUAGUUGGUAAGGUAACGGCUUACCAAGGCGACGAUGCAUAGCCGACCGGAGAGAGUGAUAGGCGACACGAGAACUGGAACACGGACCAGACUACUGAGGGAGGCCCCAGUAGGGAAUGUGACGCAACAGGCGAAAGCAUGACGGAGCAAGCCGGAGUGAGUUACAGCGGCCCUCGGAGCGUAAAACUCGGUUAUUAGUGAAGAACAUAUGUCUAAGUAGCUGAGCCCAUAGUGACGGUACCUAAUCAGAAAGCAACGGCUAACUACGUG
rnacentral:rRNA from 1 species